CACACACGUAACCUCUCUCCACACUUGUUCAUCUUUUUGAGUGCCACGCUCACUCACCACCGCUACUCCCUUUUUCAGAUAUACACACAGACAAAGAGCUCACAAACAACAAAACACACACAGUGAAUCAGAGAAUUAGGGAAGAAAGAAAGGGGAAAGAGAGAACGGGGAAGAAGAGAGAAGAGAGAAGAGAGGAAGGAGGCGUCACUGCCUGUUGCCGCCGAGCCUGCUCCACCGCCGAUCAACACGCUCUGCUGCAGCCAUCGCAUGCAUCGCCGUCCAACGAGCGCCGCCGACCCGUCACCUCCAUGGUUGGGUUGUCGUGGCCGUCAAGUCCAGACGAGAGAGGGGAGAUGCGGGCCUGAAACCCCAACGAGCCGAGAAGAAUCAGCGCUGCCGCUGCACCGCUUGUGGAUCUCAUUGCCGCCGCUGAAGGUUCCGAUCGUUCAACUCGUUGCUGCCGUUGCCUCGCCGCAGAUCCGUCACCCCUGUCGUCGUUGGGAAAGCAGAACCACAAGAGAGAGAGACGCGGUAAGAGAGGUAGGGUCAUGCCCGGACGUCUUCGCUGGAGGACUGAAGGGAGAAGCUCGCCAGUUCUGCUUCUACUUCUAGUUUCUGGAAUUUGAGAAAACAUCACUGCCGCUGCUGUUUGUUGGGUUUAAUCGUUGCUGCUGUCCUUGCUCUGUUCUGCCUCUGCUUCUAGUUUCGUAGUUGCUGGAGCCUUUGCCGCCGGGAACCAAUGUUGGAGCUGCUCUUGAUGAUUUUGAUGCUGCUAGGUAGGUUCCGAGCUGUUGUGUUGUUGCCAGAGGAAGGAAACUCAUAGAAAAAAUGUCCCCGAGGCUGCUGUUUGGUUUGGUUACGUUGUUAAUGCGACACUGAGAGGUACAGACAGGAUGGCUAAUUGAAAAGCUACGAACGAAUAGAAGGCUUGUUUGGCUAGUUGCUUCUGUGUUUAUUUUCCCUCGUCCUUGAUGUUGUAAAGUGUUGUAUUUUUACAGAGGGGUAGGUUUGUAUUUAAGUCUUGUAUGAAUAAUUAUUAUGUAUUAAUAUUAAUUAUGUGAGUAUAUGUUUAUCUGA